rnacentral:sRNA from 1 species
UUUGCCACAUGUCUCU